CCCUCUUUUCCGCGUUUUACCCUCUUUUCCGCGUUUUACCCUCUUUUCCGCGUUUUACCCUCUUUUCCGCGUUUUACCCCCUUUUCCGCGUUUUACCCUCUUUUCCGCGUUUUACCCCCUUUUCCACGUUUUACCCUCUUUUCCGUUUCCGUUUUUCCGGUUCCGCCAUUCCGGUUCCGCCGGUCCGUUCCGUUCCGUUUCCGCGUUUUACCCCUACCC